AGUCAGGUAAGCGUCGGUCUGCUCUCCAUGGGAGGCGGAAGGGUCUUCCAAAGUCUCCAACAGCGGCACGAAGGGGCUGUGGCCCGGGGCCGUCAUGUCGGCCCCUCCCUGAAGCCCGGACCGGAAGAGAAGACAAUCCAGUGACCGACAGAAACAGCUCCGCGACGGCCCCGCACCAAGAUGGCGGCGGGGGCGGGCCCCGGAGCGCGCGGGAGUAGGACAGGCCUGGCGGGAGAGGCUCGAGCCAAUCCAACAGUCAGCGGCGCGCCGGAGUCAUCGAUCGCCUCCCUUCCCUGCCUGCUGCCCCGCCCUGCCCCUCAGGUCACCUUGCAGGUGGGGGUGUUUUGGCCCGUAUUUAACCCGCGAGGGACUUGAAAUUCAAAAUAUAUCAAUGGCAGUCUCAUUAUCCUUUGGUAAUUCUGGAAUUUCCACCAAGAUUGUUUUAAAACUCGUUUGGCAGUAUUCCAGGCUCCGGACGCGUAGGCUCAGCGGCCAUGGCUCACGGGCCCAGCCGCUCCGCGGCAUGUGGGAUCCUCCCGGACCGGGGCACAAACCCAUGUCCCCUGCAUCGGCAGGCGAACUCCCAACCACUGCGCCACCAGG